rnacentral:rRNA from 1 species
CAGUAGCCGCGGUAAUACAGAGGGUGCGAGCGUUAAUCGGAUUUACUGGGCGUAAAGCGUGCGUAGGCGGCUUCUUAAGUCGGAUGUGAAAUCCCUGAGCUUAACUUAGGAAUUGCAUUCGAUACUGGGAAGCUAGAGUAUGGGAGAGGAUGGUAGAAUUCCAGGUGUAGCGGUGAAAUGCGUAGAGAUCUGGAGGAAUACCGAUGGCGAAGGCAGCCAUCUGGCCUAUACUGACGCUGAGGUACGAAAGCAUGGGGAGCAAACAGGAUUAGAUACCCGAGUAGUCACUGUCUCUUAUACA